GUGAAUCAUCGAAUCUUUGAACGCAUAUUGCACUCUCUGGUAUUCCGGAGAGUAUGCCUGUUUGAGGGUAAUUAAAAACAAUAAGUAAACAAUGGUGUUGGGCAAAGGAAAUGAGAGCUACGCGUUUAUAGCGGUAGCGUGAAAGAAAUGGUCAAGUCGCAUGUUAGUGGAGAGGCGAAAUAAGAUUAUGUCGCGAAAUCUUUAUUAGGUGACUAUCAAGUUUUGAUGCAUACAAAUGUGGGUGGUAUGCGAUCAAUUCAAAUAU
rnacentral:misc_RNA from 1 species